UACGGAGGGUGCGAGCGUUGUCCGGAAUCACUGGGCGUAAAGGGCGCGUAGGCGGCGCGGGAAGUCAUCGGUGAAAGCUCAGGGCUCAACUCUGAGUCGGCCGGUGAUACUCUCGUGCUUGAGCACUGUAGAGGCAGGUGGAAUUCCGGGUGUAGCGGUGGAAUGCGUAGAGAUCCGGAAGAACACCGGUGGCGAAGGCGGCCUGCUGGGCAGUAGCUGACGCUGAUGCGCGACAGCGUGGGGAGCGAACAGG
rnacentral:rRNA from 1 species